UUUUUGGAAUUUAAAAUAAUUAAAUAAAACAAUUUUAGAAAAUUAAAUCAAAAGGUUUAUUUUGUAAACUUUUGAAAGUUUUUGUCCAGGGUUUAAAGUGUAACUUUCAAAAGUUACAGGGGGUGUUUUGUAAGAUUCAAAACUUAGGUACAACAACUUCACCACCUUCAAAACUUCGGUGACCAAACAGCAAUUUGCCGUCGGCCACCAUACUAACUCGCCGGAAACCUCGUUCCCGGCCUCCCCGAGCUCCCACAAACUCCAGAUAGCAUAUUUGGAAUACCAUAAACGUAAAACCGCCCUCAGAUUCAUCAGAAGCGGCCAUAUUUGGCCAUAGAAUGCAAAACAAAACUCGCCGCCGGCGACUUCCUUUUGAACUCCGGCGAGCCAUUUCCAGACAUCCCACAUAACUGUUGAACAUACACACAAGUUCCUCUCAUCACGCUCUUUCUAAUGAUAUAGAUCACAAUAGCCCAGAAUUUCUAGAUUAAAAACGCCUCUUUUUCAAUUAAGAAAAUUCAUAAACCUCCAAGAACAUUCAAGAACACAACUCCGAGAAUUAAACCAACGUUUCUAUAUGUUAUCGAAGUCAAAAUUCGACAUAUAAUAUACCAAAACGACGAGAAAAACAUGCUCUACAACAUAGAAUCAUCAAAACAACCAAAUAAUAUCAUUUACAAAAAUUCAUCCUUUAAAUCAAAAUAGCUCGAAUUUUGUAAAAUUUAUGUAAAAUCACCUGAUAAAUCUGCAUACAAACGGGUGAUUAAACAUGAUUCUACGCGUCGAUAGCUUCGUUUUGACUAUUCGUACACCUCCAUCGGAUUCCAAUAACACCUCCAAAUCCUCGUUUGAUUAUGAAGAACACGAAGAACACCGCUCGGUUUCUCUCGGUAUUUGUGAAAAGAAACUGGUGAAAAUGAUUUCUACGGUGAAAAUCAGCUAUAGAAAAGUCUAUUUAUAUUUACAAAUACUUGGUACCCCUUUGGAUCGUUUAUGACAUGAAAAUACGUAUUUAAUAGCUUUAUAUUAAUAAAGCGGGGUCCAAUCGGUACUGGUUUUCAAGAUAAUCAUCAAAACGGGGCUUUUUAAUCAGUCAUUAGUAUGCGGGUCCCACUGCAAUUAUUACAAGAUAAGGAUGAAUCAAAAUAUCUAGUUUCACGUUUAUCGAGACAACCAGAUAAUUAUCAACAAUUAAAAUACCCGAAAAACUCCGCCGGACCGACUACGGGGAAAACCGUACUCCGGAUCGAAAAAGUCAAAACACGAAAAAUGUCCGGAAUAUUCAAAUUAGGCUAAAGGUGAGUUUUGUUGAAACUUCCGGGAAGAAAAUUUGCUACCUCGUUACGAGUGGACGGUUUUACGGAAGUCAAAUAAUUAAUAAAUAAAUAUAAAUAUACGCAAUUAAAUCCGUAAAUCGAUUAUAAAAUCAUCUAACAUUCCAUAAAUCGAUAUGAAAAUAUCCAAAUAAACUAUAUUUUCUCCUGAGCAUAUAGAAAUUGAAAUCUCUCAAAUACGAACACAUAUGAGCAGUUAACGCAAUAAACCAGAUAAUAUAAAAUUCACAAAAAUUCAUAUAUUAAUCAUAUAAUACUCAUAAUUAACCAUAAUUAAUUAACCAACAAAUCCACCAAUACCACUUACUCACAUCACACAUAUAUUCACAUAAUAAUCAUCUAGAAUUUUCGAAACAAUAUAUGAAAAUCAGUUUUAAAAAUAUAAUCAUUUAUCAAUAACACAAUAACCCGGGGUUUAAUAUAAAAUUUUGAAAACUCCUUAAACUGGAAUAAAAUAUUAAAUCUUAUUCCUUACUUAUUAAGAAGACCACUUAUAAUACUAAUAAAAAUAUUUUUAAAAAUCCGGGUCAUUACAAUCUACCCUCCUUAUAGGGAUUCCGUCCUCGGAAUCAGAGAAAGAAGGAGGACGCAUAAUCUGUAAAAUCCAUAUUAAUCCACAAAACAAGUAUAAUCACAUACAACUAUUCACAUAAUCAAAUCAAUAUUCAACUAGAGACAACAAUAAUAUCUAGACAAAUAGAUUUAUAAUAAUCAAAUCUGAAUUUAAUAAUAUGGGAUAUUACAUUCUACCCCCCUUAUAAGGAUUCCGUCCUCGGAAUCCUCCGAAGAAACUAAAACGUACACACUUCGUAAUAUCAUAUCGUCAUCCACCUUUGAUUGAUCUUGGCAUACCUUUAACUUUAAUGGAAAAGGAACAUCAAACUUUCGCGAUUGUAAAAUUCAUUUCCCAAGAAUCGAUCUUUGGGAAUUUUCGAAUAGAAUAAGGUGUUUUCAAAAUAGGUCACAUUGAAAUACAAGAGUGACUGGGAGAUCAAUACGAUCAAAUGAACUUAAUGUUGCGUGUCCAUAUUAGACACUACUAAAGGUUGUUAACCUUCUUGUAAUCACAACACACACAAGUGAUGGCGUCCCAUCCAACUCCUAUCACACAGACAGGUAUACCUUGUGUCCCCUAUACACAGGGUUGUUCAUCCCAAUCAGAUGGAAAGAAUCCAAGAAAUCUCAAGGAGCAUCAAGGAAUGUUGAGGAUUAUCGAGGAAUAUAUUAAGGAAUAUUGAAAAGAUAUCAAGGAAUAUCAAAGAGUGUCAAAGAAUAUCAACGAAUAUUAAGGGAUAUCAAAGAAUUUGAAAGAAUAUCAAGGGAUAUCAAAGAAUAUCAAAUAAUAUCAAGGAAUUCCACUGUCUCGUCAUAAACACGCCUUUAUCAUACACCGAUUCAAUACCAACUCACACCAAUAAUCAAUAUCAUUAUCAUCUUAGAAUGUGAGAAAUUGAAAAUCUCAUUUAUCAAAAUGAUAUCAUAAUAACUCACUGAUGAAGAACAUAAUCAAAAGAAUCUUUAGUUGAAGAGAGGUAUUGCCAAGGUCUUCUCAAAUUCCCACUAUGCUUUACGAAAUCGUUAUUCGAUUCAUGUCUUCCUUUCAACGUUCUCGAUAGUCGAUUGACGUUCGUUCGUAGCAGCCUCGUAAAAUUCAUAGUAGACGUUAUCGUUCGUAAUAAGUCUUGGCCUCCACUUCAUCCCCAUUAUCUGUGAAGUCACUAGCAAAACACGUAGCAUAUCAUCGAUUGUAUGGAUCGCCAACCUGUGGGUUAUGGGCCCACCUCGAUGUCGUUUAAAGUCCCGAUUAACUUAAAGCGUCAUCGCCGAGGACUAACGUUCUAACUUACUCGCACUCAUCACCUCUAAUAACUGGACUCAACCCCACAUUCUCUCUAUCAUGCACUUCUCAUCUAUCAACCUCUAUCUACUAAUCUCUCCUUCUAAUUCAACACAACUCAUAUUCUACACUAACUCUUCAUAUCUUACUAAAACCAUAUACAUCUUCCAAAUAUCUGACAUGGUCAACAUACUAUGAACCAUGCAUCUUUAUCAUUUUCAAAUCAAUACACUAGACCAUUUUCAACUAUGCAGUAUAGUCAGAAUACUCUGAACUCUGCAUUUUCACCAUUCUUAACUCAAUCAUUCACUAUCAAACUCUUCUAUCUAGGUCUAAUCUUGACCUUCCUCACAAUUCAACAUCUCAAUGAGUCAACAUACUAGAAAUCAUAUGUCUAACUUAGGAAUCAAAAUCUCUCUAACCUUAUACACUCAACUUAAUCAUCUAACUAGAUUCUAUUCCUGUCACAUCUCUAAACUAUUCCCAGAUAGUCUCACAAUACCUCUACAUGAGGUCACACCACAUUCUUCUCUAGAAAACCUAUAACCAUGAUCUAUAUUCCAAUUUCAAAUACUUAUAACCUGUCGCUCUGAUACCAACUGUGACAGUCCGAGAAUCCGGGGGUCUGGAUCCUGACGUCACCACACAAAAACCUUUUUAAAACACUUUGGAAACCUGUAUAUUUUUUUUUUGAUAAUGGAAAUUCAAAUAAUUUGAAAACAAAAAGAUUUAUUAAAAGAUCUGAAAGAGAAUAUUAAUCAAAUGAUUUCAAAACCUGAAUUUCAAAACUUGAAAGCCAUAAUAAAAGAUUCGAAAGAGAACAUUUGUACCCCCUAAAACAACAGGAUCGCAUCCAGGUUACAGUAUUGAAAUUAGAAUCUACCACUAUUAUUACACAACAUCUCUUACCAAAUCAGAUCAUCUUCGAUAAGAAGAAUCACUGUCAACUAUUCCAGCUAUGACUUGCACUUGAAUCUAUGUAGCACAGCUCUAGCUUGCACCAACCUCAUCAACUUUCCUGAACACUCCUCGCCUAGCCUUAGCUUUACUCGCAAUCAUAGACUAGCCAUUCAUCUUUAAUCCUUUCUGAAAUGGUUAAGAAAGGAAUAGCAAGAGUGAGCAACAAUGCUCAGCAAGUAAUAAUAAACAAUAACAAUAGUGAAUCAAUAUGAUAGUAGUUCAAAGGCUCAAGAUACUUUAGUAAAAGAUUCGACAUAAAUUCAUAAGAUUAAGGUAUUGUAUAGAAUGAUUCACAAUACCUUGCAACAAUGGAAUACUGGAGUAAUUCAAUCUUUCCAAGAGAAUUAUUGAAUUGGACUAUCACAUUUUAAUUAAAACAAAGGUUAGGAUGCUGAUCAGUCAUACCUAACCCCGAGCAGGCCCCGCCAUGCUCUGUCACUGGAUCCAAGGCACUCAUUGGCCUAACAUGACCACUCAUCUGGUCUGACCACUCAUUUGGUCCACAAAAUUUUAUAAAAACAAUAAUCCAAUUCUAUAAUUCAAUUCAACAGGUCAGUGUAAAUCAACAGAACAUCCUCAUAAAUAUCAUCAACAACAGAUUAAUUUCAAAUCAAACUUGGAUAAUAAUCUAUCCAUAAAUCAUGAUCCAUCAUUUCAUAAAUCACAGUUCAGGAAAUCCUCAACUAUUCAGUAUCCUCCAUUAUCGGCUAAGCAACUGAAUUUAGCCUGCUAAACCAGCAUGACAAUGGCGGGUUGAAUAAUCAAGAAGAUCCCAAUUCAUUCAAAGCUCUAACUAUCACUGAGCAACACAUGCUUCAAUGACAAUCUGAACUUCGAAUUGAUUUAUAAAGCUGGAAUUCUUUAGAAACUUGAGGAUUGAAAAGAAUGGAUCAGAAUACUCGCACUUUUAAAUAUAGCACAGAAAGGUAUGAAUAUUUGAAACAUAUACCAAAGGAAUGGAUCAGAAUAUUUUCAAUAUAUCCAAGAGAAGGAUUUAGGAUACUUGCCUUAAAUCUGACUCCAGUCUCACAUCUCUAUCUCAUCUUUCCACUUUCACAAUCUAUCCAUAUCAUAAUUUCUAGACCAUCUCUAGCCGUACUCUAUUCGCCACAUCGCUUCGCUUACUCGAUUCAUCCCUUAUUCGCCUUGCAAUACCAUUUCGACUUCCUGACGUCUUCGAGCGUACAAGUCUCGUCCAAAUCCUUUACGAGAAUAAGAUAAUACUAUAGUCACUAAACAAUAUAUCGCAUAUACAUAUCACGUAUACCGAUACCCACUUAUAUACCCCUUUAAACUUAUCACAUAUCACUUAACACGUAAUCAUGCUUUGACUCUACCAUAUAGUCAAGUCAUAUUCCACAUAACAUAUUACCAAUCACUUAUCAUAUGAAUCCUAUCGAAAAUCCGACAUCGUCUCGUCUAUUUAUUAGACUAUCCACCUGUUAUCCUAUCUCAAUCAACAAUCAACCAACAAGAUCCAAUCACUAUAAUCCAUAUAUUCUUAUCCAAUAUCAAUCAACUCACGACACUAUGUCAUCCAAAUCAUUUAUCACACGCAUAUACUAUCAUGAAUAAACAUGUAUAUCACGUAGUCAUUAGUUAAUAGCAACCAAAUAACAUAUAAUCACAUUUUGCACAUUUAACAAAAAUUAUUCAGAUUCUCGACUCCAUCAUAAUAUUAUGUCAUAUCAAACUAGACUUUAUAAGCUUCUGUCUCUCUUUCGUUUCACUUGAUUCCGACUUACGGAUCAAAAGUUAUGCUCAAAAUAGUUUUCUCACUCUCCUAUCGGCACAUAACACAUCCAACCAAUAGCAGACAACACACAACACAUAAGGUUUCCCAUCCCAAUUGAUAUUAAAUCAAGUCUUGGGUUAAAAAUGAUUUUUCGGGAAUUUUCUGGAAUUUUUAAACAUUUUUCGGAAUUAAAAUCGAUAAAAGAAUCACUUUUCGGAUAAAUAAUCAAGUCCCAAAUACUUGAAAUUGGACUUGAAAUCAUUCAUAAACAAUUAUCGAGCCUUGAAAAUAAUUUGGAAAAAUAUUUUAAAGCUCGAAACUAUUUUUCGGAAUUUUUAAAUCAAAAAGGAUUAAUUAAAUCCAAUUAAUUAAUCAAUUAAAAUCAAUUAAUAAUUAAUUAAAAUAAUUAAUCAAUUAAUAUUUAAAUUAAUUGACCAAUUAAAAUAAUUAAUUACUAAUUAAAAUUAAUUAACAAACUAAUUUAGAUUUAUUUUUGAAUAAAGAAAUAAUUAAAAACUAUAUUUGAAAUUCAAAAUAAUUAAAUAAAACAAUUUUAGAAAAUUAAAUCAAAAGGUUUAUUUUGUAAGUUUUUAAAACUUUCUGGCAAGGGUGUAAAGUGUAACUUAUAAAAGUGUCAGGGGUCAAUUUGCCAGAAAAGAAACUAGAGUACAAAAUCUUCACCACCUCCAAAAGUUUGGGGGCUAAACGGCAUUUUCGCCGUCGCCGCCCCCAGACUCGCCGCCGGCGAGUCGCCGGUGUUGCCACCGCGCCCAGAACUCAGCAAACAACUCCAGAUUUAUUAAAUAGCAUCCCAGGAACUCGUAUAUGGUCUCGGAUUUCAAAACAAAUCAUUAAUCAAGCCAGAAAAUUAGAUCAAAGCUAAGAACGCCGCCGGAGUUUAAAUAUCCGGCAAGCUCGCUACGGCUUCCUCCGCACAAUCCAAACAUACCAAUCAACUCUACACAUCCCAAUGAACAUAUUCCAAGCCUCAAAACUCACCCAGACUUAACCGAACUCAGAAAUCGAAUUUUCAAUUAAAA
rnacentral:lncRNA from 1 species